UGCAUAUUGACAGAAAGAGAAGAAGGACAAUUAAUUGAAAUAAGAACAGAGGAGGGCGGAUGUACCCCUAACCGAUCAGACCGCGGACCCGACCAAACAGGCCGAUUUUCUAGUCCGAUGGAUCGCCGGUCACAUCCUGUACCUUGGAACCACGAUCAGGCGUCCCCACUUGUUUCUCCUUGCUUGUGCCUUUCAUUCUUAACCUGUUUCUCUCUCCCACAUGAUCACCCUCGCCAGAGAAGUAAAUACCACCACAAUCGGCCUCUCUUUGGCCGAUCUCUCUCUCUCUC
rnacentral:lncRNA from 1 species